UACGAAGGGUGCUAGCGUUGUUCGGAAUUACUGGGCGUAAAGCGUAUGCAGGCGGACUUUUAAGUCGGGGGUGAAAUCCCGAGGCUCAACCUCGGAACUGCCUUCGAUACUGGAAGUCUUGAGUCCGGGAGAGGUGAGUGGAACUCCGAGUGUAGAGGUGAAAUUCGUAGAUAUUCGGAAGAACACCAGUGGCGAAGGCGGCUCACUGGCCCGGUACUGACGCUGAGAUACGAAAGCGUGGGGAGCAAACAGG
rnacentral:rRNA from 1 species